UCUGGGGGUGGGGGCAGGACCCUGGCGGGAGAUGGCUAAGCUCCGCCCCAGGUCAGAGUGGCGCGCGCAACAGGCCGAGCUGUAACCCAACACGGGGUCUUUGUCGUCCUCAGGCGCAAGGAGGAACCCUGAGCCCGGGGAGCCAGCGGAGGCUCCGGGCGGCGCUCACAGCACCAACCAACCGGACCCGGUGGGGAGGUGACCGGAGGGUCAUCAAGGCUCCUUCUGUGGAAGCCACUGGUACCGAGCAUAGCCUGCCUCAUGGAGUGACCUGGGCAAAUGCUCGCUGGGACCAAGGUCGAGACUGCUUUUGGGCAGAAAAGCAAAACCGGUGAGGGACACACCAGCAACAACGUGACGAGGAACUGUGCGAGUGAGGGGAUGAAAAGCGCAGCCCAGAAAUGUGUGCGACAUGGUGUUAAUACCAGAGAAAGCAGAAUUCAAGGUAAAGAAUGAAAUGGAUAAGGGAGUGCACCUUACAUGGAUGAGACAUGCACAUGCAUGGGGAUGUGGGAAUUAAGUCUGGGGCAUGAGAAGAGAGCACGGCCACAUCUAGCCACAGGGGACCUGGACUCUGGGACAAAUGCCAUAGAUCACAUAGAAAAUGCAAAAUGAGGGUGUAAAAGACAAAUACUGCUAUUGGUGAUUUUAUUUUAUUUUUCAUAUAAAAUUCACUGUGCAUAGAGAGAAUAAACGUUUUUUCCAAAAUCCCAUGAAAUUUUAAAGGAUCCCAAACCAGCUACAAAUCAAAGCUUAAAACAAUUUCAAAAACUGAAAAAUCACUUAGGCCUGAACUGAACUUUAUAAAACAAAAUAUUAAUGAAACAAAAGAUGUAAUAAAACCUAACUAGUUGAAAUUUUUCAA